rnacentral:rRNA from 1 species
GACGAACGCUGGCGGCGUGCUUAACACAUGCAAGUCGAACGGAAAGGCCCUGCUUUUGUGGGGUGCUCGAGUGGCGAACGGGUGAGUAACACGUGAGUAACCUGCCCUUGACUUUGGGAUAACUUCAGGAAACUGGGGCUAAUACCGGAUAGGAGCUCCUGCUGCAUGGUGGGGGUUGGAAAGUUUCGGCGGUUGGGGAUGGACUCGCGGCUUAUCAGCUUGUUGGUGGGGUAGUGGCUUACCAAGGCUUUGACGGGUAGCCGGCCUGAGAGGGUGACCGGCCACAUUGGGACUGAGAUACGGCCCAGACUCCUACGGGAGGCAGCAGUGGGGAAUAUUGCACAAUGGGCGGAAGCGUGAUGCAGCAACGCCGCGUGCGGGAUGACGGCCUUCGGGUUGGAAACCGCUUUCGCCUGUGACGAAGCGUGAGUGACGGUAAUGGGUAAAGAAGCACCGGCUAACUACGUG